UACGUAGGGCGCAAGCGUUAUCCGGAAUUAUUGGGCGUAAAGGGCUCGUAGGCGGUCUGUCGCGUCGGUAGUGAAAACUCAGGGCUUAACCCUGAGCCUGCUUCCGAUACGGGCAGACUAGAGGUAUGCAGGGGAGAAUGGAAUUCCUGGUGUAGCGGUGAAAUGCGCAGAUAUCAGGAGGAACACCAGUGGCGAAGGCGGUUCUCUGGGCAUUACCUGACGCUGAGGAGCGAAAGUGUGGGGAGCGAACAGG
rnacentral:rRNA from 1 species